CACCUACAGAACUGUAAUAUAUUUGUGUUCUUCUAAGCCACAAAGAUUGUGAUGUUUGUUACAGAAGUCAUAGAAAACAAAUAAAAAUAUUAAAAAGUUCAUAAUAUACAGAUGACGGUAACAUAGUAUAAUGAACCAUGCUGUGCAUUUAACAUAGGUUUUUAAAAAAUUAAGUCAUGGCCAAUAUUAUUUACAAUACCCAUAUGUACUGGGUUACAAUCUAGAUUAUUUUGAAGUAAACCAGACAUUUUAUCAUUUCUUCAUAAAUAUUUCAGAUACAAUUAUGAAUUAUAAGCAGUCUUUUUGAAACAUAACCAAAAUAUUAUUUUAUACCUGAAACUUCAUUAUGGUACCUAACACCAUAAAUAUCCUGUCAUUGUUAUUUUUUCUUCUAUACUUCAUUUGUUUGAUAUAUGCAUCCAAAUGAAAUCUAUUCCUUGCAACUGGUUGAUAUGUUGUUGUUUAUUUUCAUCUAUAGGUUCUCUCUUCACCUCUUUUAAUCUUGUUUGUUUGUUGAUAUCAUCAUGCUCUUUAUUCCAAAAAGCUUUUAUAGUCUGGACUUUGCUGACUGUAUAUCCAUGGCACAGUUGAACAAGUUCCUCUAUGCCCUGUAGUUCCUGUAAAUUUGUAGUUAGCUCCUGAGGUUUCAUCAGUUUCAAAUUUCAUUUUUUUGGUAAGAACAUUUCAUAGAUGUUUUCUACUUCUCCCUUUUGUAUUCUCCAUUGUCCAUUAUUCCUGUGUGUCCAUGCAUACCCACUGUUUGGUUUCCACUUAUAAAUGAGAACCUGCAGUAUUUGACUUUCUGCUUCUGAAGUAAUUUCACUUAGGAGAUAACUUAGGAAAUGGCCUCCAGUACCACCCAUGUUCCUGAGCUUCUCUCAUAUCCACCAUAAGUGUUCCUCCAGUGUUUCUCAAACAUUGGAACAAGGUGACACACAUAGACGGUGAUAAUAUUUCCUCAGUCCCUUUCUGUUGGCUUGUCAGGUCCUGGGUUUCUUUCACUGUGGCUCCCUGAAAAGCAGAGCAGCUUUGAUGAGAUCCUGUUCACAGUGCCAAAACUGUAGGGGUGAAGGGCUUCCCCUUAGCCCUCUGAAGGUUUCCUCUCCUUGCUUACUGUCACCACCUUUCCUCUUGCUCCUCCCUUCAUCCAGGUGCUGUGUUCUUGAUCACCUUGUAGACAGUCAUUUCAAGCUUCCAGCUUUCUCCAGCCAAUCCAUUGACCCCUUUCCUAAUGGCACUUCUAAUUGCAUGAUGUUCAGUGGAUUUUUUUUCUUCAGGCCAUACUCUCAAUUGCUUGUGUCUGUCAGAUCCAUUCAUUUUCACUAUUUCCCUACUAAUAAAAUAUUGGAAAUGUGGCAGAGGGUUUCAUGACAACUCUCAGGAUUUCCUGACCUGAACAGUGUGCAUCAUACCCAAUAUUAUUCCUCAUCCCCUCCAAGUCGGCUGCUUUUGACUCUCCAGUGUCCAUUAUACCGUUCUGUAUGCCUUCGCAUACCCAUAGCUUAGCUCCCACUUAAAAGUGAGAACAUAUGGUGUUUGGUUUUCUAUUUCUGAGUUACUUCACUUAGAAUAAUGGUCUCCAGCUCCAUCCAAGUUCAUUUAUAAUACUGAAUCCAUUAAUUCCCAGGUUUCUGCUUUCUCAGCUUCUUGAAGAUAGAUUCUAA
rnacentral:lncRNA from 10 species